AACGAACGCUGGCGGCAUGCCUAACACAUGCAAGUCGAACGAGAUCUUCGGGUCUAGUGGCGCACGGGUGCGUAACGCGUGGGAAUCUCCCUUUGGUUCGGAAUAACAGUUGGAAACGACUGCUAAUACCGGAUGAUGACGAAAGUCCAAAGAUUUAUCGCCAGAGGAUGAGCCCGCGUAGGAUUAGCUAGUUGGUGUGGUAAAGGGGCACCAAGGCGACGAUCCUUAGCUGGUCUGAGAGGAUGAUCAGCCACACUGGGAGUGAGACACGGCCCAGACUCCUACGGGAGGCAGCAGUGGGGAAUAUUGGACAAUGGGCGAAAGCCUGAUCCAGCAAUGCCGCGUGAGUGAUGAAGGCCUUAGGGUUGUAAAGCUCUUUUACCCGGGAUGAUAAUGACAGUACCGGGAGAAUAAGCUCCGGCUAACUCCGUGCCAGCCGCCGCAGUAA
rnacentral:rRNA from 1 species